CAGCAGCCACGGUAAUACGAAGGGUGCAAGCGUUAAUCGGAAUUACUGGGCGUAAAGCGUGCGUAGGCGGUGAGUUAAGUCUGCUGUGAAAUCCCCGGGCUCAACCUGGGAAUGGCAGUGGAUACUGGCUCGCUAGAGUGUGUCAGAGGAUGGUGGAAUUCCCGGUGUAGCGGUGAAAUGCGUAGAGAUCGGGAGGAACACCAGUGGCGAAGGCGGCCAUCUGGGACAACACUGACGCUGAGGCACGAAAGCGUGGGGAGCAAACAGGAUUAGAUACCCCAGUAGUCCCUGUCUCUUAUAA
rnacentral:rRNA from 1 species